GGGAGGCCAAGGCAGGCGGCAUGCUUCGCCGGGUGGUCAGAGCUAUUCGCCCAUAGUCCGUAGCCCAGAGCCGGGGCUGCUCGGCUCUCCGUCCCGGGGGGCCGGGGCCGGGCUGGAGGCGUGCGAGCCUCUCAUCGCUGCCUCCCAGCGCAGCCACCCGAGCCGCUGCCGCCGCCGCCGCCUCCCUCCAUGGCUCAGCAAAACCAUCCUUUCAUCUUUUCGUCUCAUCAUUUCUUCAUUUCAUUUCAUCUUUUCAUCUCAUUUCAUUUCAUCAAUUCAUCAUUUCAUCUCAUCAUUUCAUCUCAUUUCAUUUCACUUCAUUUGUUGCAUUUCAUUUCAUCAUUUCAUUUCAUCACUUCAUCUCAAUAUUUCAUUUCGUCACUUCACUUCAUCUCAUUUCAUCAUUUCAUCUCAUGAUUUCAUUUCAUCUCAUUUCAUCUUUUCAUCUCGUCAUUUCAUUUCAUCUUUUCAUCUCAUCAUUUCAUCAAUUCAUCAUUUCAUCUUUUCAUUUCAUUUCAUCAUUUCAUUUCACUUCACUAUUUCAUUUCAUUAUUUCAUUUCACCAUUUCAUGUCAUCAUUUCAUUUCAUCAUUCCAUUUCAUCAUUUCAUUUCAUUUCAUCAUCAUUUCAUCUCAUUAUUUCAUUUCUUCGUUUCAUCAUUUCGUUUCAUUUCAUCAUUUCAUUUCAUCAUUUCAUCAUUUCUUUUCAUUUCAGUGAUACAUGUAUUUAAUUGCUAAUGCGAUGCUCAGGAGACACCCUAUUUCCCUUUGUAAAACACCUCCUUCAACAAAAGGCAACUUCUCAUGGCUGGCUAAGUCUACAGGGAUACCAGCCUCUCUUCAAC
rnacentral:lncRNA from 1 species